rnacentral:rRNA from 1 species
GCCGCCGCCUACCUCCUCCACCACCACCCCCUCGAAUUACUCCCCCUCCCUCUGGAUUCACUUACUGGAUCCGGAAGGAUUUGAUCACCUCUCGCUCGCUCACAGCCGUUGAUUGCCAUCCUGUGCCUUGUCGUGUCUUUGAUCCAACCCCAAGAACCAUCAAGGUAUCGAGGGAGGGUUUGGGCCCCGGAUCCCUUUCUUUUGCAGCCGUUGUGAAGCAAGGAUUGGCGAUGUCUGACCGGAGGAUUGCUGGUGCGGGAUCUGGAGCAGGCGGCCCCUCGAAGGCUGUUGCUCAGAGAGUCAACUCGCAAGGACGGAGGAGGCAACCAUCUGCCCCGACCUCGAAGGAUCCGGUGCCGGCAGCAAAGCCUACCAGAUCCACAGCCUCUACGGCUGCCUCAUCCCAGGUUCAAUCUUCUCAAUUUGUAGAGGUGGAGAUGGAGCAAGUUUUAGAUCCCAAGUACAAGGACAUGAUCUGUUUCAACUGUGGUGGUCCAGAGCAACUGUGGUGGUCCAGGACAUGAUCCUUUGACGUGGAGUGGAAGACCAUCUUUCACCACAAACAGGCAAACCGUACUCAAGCACAUAUGCAGCAAAUUAGGAAAUGUAUGUUAGGGAUUGAAGAGCCGGCCGGGAUGAAUUCAGAGGUGUAUGUGUAAUUGUGUAUAUGUAUGUACGUAAGCGUAAUUUUUCUUAGUUGACAUAGAGUUUGUUUCGACGCACAAGAGAUAGAAGAGAGGAAAAAUAAGAGGUUCUAUUCGGAACAAAAUUAAAGAAAAAUUAGAGGUUCGACUCUAUGAAAAAAAAAAUACUCCCU